rnacentral:rRNA from 1 species
GAUGAACGCUGGCGGCGUGCCUAAUACAUGCAAGUCGAGCGAACAGACGAGGAGCUUGCUCCUCUGACGUUAGCGGCGGACGUGUGAGUAACACGUGGAUAACCUACCUAUAAGACUGGGAUAACUUCGGGAAACCGGAGCUAAUACCGGAUAAUAUAUUGAACCGCAUGGUUCAAUAGUGAAAGACGGUUUUGCUGUCACUUAUAGAUGGAUCCGCGCCGCAUUAGCUAGUUGGUAAGGUAACGGCUUACCAAGGCAACGAUGCGUAGACGACCUGAGAGGGUGAUCGGCCACCCUGGAACUGAGACACGGUCCAGACUCCUACGGGAGGCAGCAGUAGGGAAUCUUCCGCAAUGGGCGAAAGCCUGACGGAGCAACGCCGCGUGAGUGAUGAAGGUCCUCGGAUCGUAAAACUGUGUUAUUAGGGAAGAACAAAUGUGUAAGUAAAUAUGCACGUCUUGACGGUAACUAAUAAGAAAGCCACGGCUAACUACGUG